rnacentral:rRNA from 1 species
GACGAACGCUGGCGGCGCGCUUCACACAUGCAAGUCGAACGAGAAGCCCGGGCUUGCCCGGGUGGACAGUGGCGAACGGGUGAGUAACACGUGAGCAACCUGCCCCGAAGACGGGAAUAAGCCGGGGAAACCUGGUCUAAUGCCCGAUGCCCUCACCGGACCGCAUGAUCCGGCGAGGAAAGCUCCGGCGCUUCGGGAUGGGCUCGCGGCCUAUCAGCUUGUUGGUGGGGUCACGGCCCACCAAGGCGACGACGGGUAGCUGGUCUGAGAGGAUGUCCAGCCACACUGGGACUGAGACACGGCCCAGACUCCUACGGGAGGCAGCAGUGGGGAAUCUUGCGCAAUGGGCGAAAGCCUGACGCAGCGACGCCGCGUGCGGGAUGAAGGCCUUCGGGUUGUAAACCGCUUUCAGCAGGGACGAAAUUGACGGUACCUGCAGAAGAAGCCCCGGCCAACUACGUGC